UGCAGUCGAACGAUGAAGCCCAGCUUGCUGGGUGGAUUAGUGGCGAACGGGUGAGUAACACGUGAGUAACCUGCCCUUGACUCUGGGAUAAGCGUUGGAAACGACGUCUAAUACCGGAUACGAGCUUCCACCGCAUGGUGAGUUGCUGGAAAGAAUUUUGGUCAAGGAUGGACUCGCGGCCUAUCAGCUUGUUGGUGAGGUAACGGCUCACCAAGGCGACGACGGGUAGCCGGCCUGAGAGGGUGACCGGCCACACUGGGACUGAGACACGGCCCAGACUCCUACGGGAGGCAGCAGUGGGGAAUAUUGCACAAUGGGCGAAAGCCUGAUGCAGCAACGCCGCGUGAGGGACGACGGCCUUCGGGUUGUAAACCUCUUUUAGCAGGGAAGAAGCGAAAGUGACGGUACCUGCAGAAAAAGCACCGGCUAACUACGUGCCAGCAGCCGCGGUAAUACGUAGGGUGCAAGCGUUGUCCGGAAUUAUUGGGCGUAAAGAGCUCGUAGGCGGUUUGUCGCGUCUGCUGUGAAAUCCCGAGGCUCAACCUCGGGUCUGCAGUGGGUACGGGCAGACUAGAGUGCGGUAGGGGAGAUUGGAAUUCCUGGUGUAGCGGUGGAAUGCGCAGAUAUCAGGAGGAACACCGAUGGCGAAGGCAGAUCUCUGGGCCGCUACUGACGCUGAGGAGCGAAAGGGUGGGGAGCAAACAGGCUUAGAUACCCUGGUAGUCCACCCCGUAAACGUUGGGCGCUAGAUGUGGGGACCAUUCCACGGUUUCCGUGUCGUAGCUAACGCAUUAAGCGCCCCGCCUGGGGAGUACGGCCGCAAGGCUAAAACUCAAAGGAAUUGACGGGGGCCCGCACAAGCGGCGGAGCAUGCGGAUUAAUUCGAUGCAACGCGAAGAACCUUACCAAGGCUUGACAUAUACGAGAACGGGCCAGAAAUGGUCAACUCUUUGGACACUCGUAAACAGGUGGUGCAUGGUUGUCGUCAGCUCGUGUCGUGAGAUGUUGGGUUAAGUCCCGCAACGAGCGCAACCCUCGUUCUAUGUUGCCAGCACGUUAUGGUGGGAACUCAUGGGAUACUGCCGGGGUCAACUCGGAGGAAGGUGGGGACGACGUCAAAUCAUCAUGCCCCUUAUGUCUUGGGCUUCACGCAUGCUACAAUGGCCAGUACAAAGGGCUGCAAUACCGUAAGGUGGAGCGAAUCCCAAAAAGCUGGUCCCAGUUCGGAUUGAGGUCUGCAACUCGACCUCAUGAAGUCGGAGUCGCUAGUAAUCGCAGAUCAGCAACGCUGCGGUGAAUACGUUCCCGGGCCUUGUACACACCGCCCGUCAAGUCAUGAAAGUCGGUAACACCCGAAGCCAGUGGCCUAACCGCAAGGAUGGA
rnacentral:rRNA from 1 species